rnacentral:lncRNA from 1 species
CACAUGAGGUACAAAUAAAACUGCAUCAUCUUUUCUUCACAUAAAAGUUCCGAUGCGAAUCCAUCCGGCUAUAUAAUAACAAAACGAAAAAACAUCAGAAGGAAGUAGGUCGACAAGGACGCGUACUACUUCAGAGUGGUACGCAAUCCUAUCUUAGAGGUCAUGUUGCUAGACAACAAUGAACCUACGAGCUAUGGAGAAGCGAUGGUGGGCCCGGAUUUCGACGAAUGGCUCGAGGCCAUAAAAUCCGAGAGAGGAUCCAUGACUUUGGAAGAAAUACUUGAUGGUCGUAAGGCUGUUGGGUACAGAUGGAUUUUAAGAGUAAGACAGACAAUGAUGGUAAGUAUCACCAUUAAGAAAGCUCGACUUGUCGCUAAGAUGUUUUCCGACAAGUUCAAGGAGUUGACUACGAUGAGACUUUCUCACUCGUAGCGAUGUUAAUAGUCUAUUGGAAUUAUAUUAGCAAUUACUGCAUGAUUUAUGAAAUCUUGCAGAUAGGAUGUCAAAACAUUGUUUCCUCGACGAUAUCCUUGAGGAAAGGUUGUAUGUGAUACAACUAGAAGGUUUUGACAAUCCUGAAAGACGUUAACAAGUAUGCAAAGCUCCAACAAUCCUUCUAAGGACUGGAGUAAGCAUCUCGGAGUUGGAAUGUACGCUUUGAUGAGAUGAUCAAAGAUUUUGGAUUUAUACAAAGUUUAUGAGAAAUUUGUAUUUUCAAAGAAGUGAGUGGGAGCACUAUACAAUUUCUGAUGAGUAUAUGUUGUUGACAUAUUGUUGAUCAGAAAUGAUGUAGAAUUUCUGGAAAGCAUAUAGGGUUAUUUGAAAAGUGCUUUUCAAUAGAAAACCUGGAAUAAGCUGCUUGAACAUUAGCAUCAAGAUCUAUGAGGAUAGAUCAAAAAUGCUAAAUGGUACUUUCAAAUGAGCACAUAUCUCGACAUGAUCUUGAAGGUGUUCAAGAUGGAUCAGUCAAAGAAGGAGUUCUUGCCUGAGUUGUAAGGUAUGAAGUUAAGAGUUAAAGCUCGACCACGGCAGAAGAGAGAGAAAGGACGAAGGUCAUCCCCUAUGCUUCAGACGUAGGCUUUAUAGUAUGCUAUGCUGUGUAUCGCACCGAAAGUGUGCCUUGCCAUGAGUCUGGCAAGGGGGUACAAGAGUGAUCCAGGAAUGGAUCAUUGGACAGCGGUCAAAAUUGUCCUUGGAGUAAAUAAGAACAUGUUUCUUGAUUAUGGAGGUGAUAAAGAGUUCGGCGUAAAGGGUUACAUCGAUGCAAGCUUUAACACCUAUCUGAAUGACUCUGAGUAGCAAACCGGAUACAUAUAGUGGAGCAACCAUUUGGAAUAGCUCCAAGUGGAGCAUGAAAGCAGCAUUUACAAUAUGACCUAGAGAUUUGCGAAAUACAUACGGAUCUGAAUGUUGCAGACCCGUUGACUAAAACCUGUUGACUAAAACCUCUCUCACAAGCAAAACAUGAUCAAACCCUAGAACUCAUUGAGUCUUAAUCACAUGGUGAUGUGAACUAGUUUAGUGACACUAGUAAACUCUUUGGAUGUUGGUCACAUGGCGAUGUGUCCUAUCAGUGUUAAUCACAUGGCGAUGUGAACUAGAUUAUUGACUCUAGUGCAAGUGGGAGACUGUUGGAAAUAUGCCCUAGAGGCAAUAAUAAAUUGGUUAUUAUUAUUAUAUUUCCUUGUUCAUGAUAAUCGUUUAUUAUCUAUGCUAUAAUUGCAUUGAUAGGAAACUCAGAUACAUGUGUGGGUACAUAGACAACAUCAUGUCCCUAGUAAGCCUCUAAUUGACUAGUUCGUUGAUCAAUAGAUGGUUAUGGUUUCCUGACCAUGGACAUUGGAUGUCGUUGAUAACGGGAUCACAUCAUUAGGAGAAUGAUGUGAUGGACAAGACCCAAUCAUAAGCCUAGCACAAAGAUCAUGCAGUUCGUAUGCUAAAGCUUUUCUAAUGUCAAGUAUCAUUUCCUUAGACCAUGAGAUUGUGCAACUCCCGGACACCGUAGGAAUACUUUGGGUGUACCAAACGUCACAACGUAACUGGGUGGCUAUAAAGGUGCACUACGGGUAUCUUCGGAAGUGUCUGUUGGGUUGGCACGAAUCGAGACUAGGAUUUGUCACUCCGUGUAACGGAGAGGUAUCUCUGGGCCCACUCGGUGGGACAUCAUCAUAAUGUACACAAUGUGACCAAGGGGUUGAUCACGGUAUGAUGUGUUACGGAACGAGUAGAAAGGCUUGCCGGCAACGAGAUUGAACAAGGUAUCGGCAUACCGACGAUCGAAUCUCGGACAAAUACAAUACCGCUGGACAAAGGGAAUUGUAUACGGGAUUGAUUGAGUCCUUGACAUCGUGGUUCAUCCGAUGAGAUCAUCGUGGAACAUGUGGGAGCCAACAUGGGUAUCCAGAUCCCGUUGUUGGUUAUUGACCGGAGAACGUCUCCGUCAUGUCUGCAUGGUUCCCGAACCCGUAGGGUCUACACACUUAAGGUUCGAUGACGCUAGGGUUAUAAAGGAAGUUUGUAUGUGGUUACCGAAUGUUUUUCGGAGUCCCGGAUGAGAUCCCGGACGUCACGAGGAGUUCCGGAAUGGUCCGGAGGUAAAGAUUGAUAUAUAGGAAGUAUGGUUUUGGCCACCGGAAGUGUUCCGGGCAUCACCGGUAGUGUACCGGGACCAUCGGACGGGUCCGGGGGUCCACCGGGAGGGGCCACAGGCCCCAGAGGCAUACAUGGGCCAAGUGUGAGAAGGGACCAGCCCCCUAGGUGGGCUGGGGUGCCUCCCCACCAAGGCCCAUGCGCCUAGAGAGAAGAGGGGAGGCAAACCCUAGGGCAGAUGGGCCCUAAAGGCCCAUGCCUGGUGCGUCUCCCUCUCCCCCCCACUUGGUCGCCACCCCAGAUGGGGAUUGGGGCUGCCGCCACCCCUAGGGAGGGAACCCUAGGUGGGGGCGCAGCCCUCCCUCUCCCCCUAUAUAUUGGAGGCAAAGGGGCGGUCCAACACACGAAGUUCUUCUCAUGUUGGCACAGCCCUACCCCUCUCUUUCUCCUCCUCUCUUGCGGUGCUUGGCGAAGCCCUGCUGGAUUGCCAAGCUCCUCCAUCACCACCACACCGUUGUGCUGCUGCUGGAUGGAGUCUUCCUCAACCUCUCCCUCUCUCCUUGCUGGAUCAAGGCAUGGGAGACGUCACCGGGCUGCACGUGUGUUGAACGCGGAGGUGCCGUCCGUUCGGCACUAGGAUCUCCGGUGAUUUGGAUCACGACGAGUACGACUCCUUCAACCCCGUUCUCUUGAACGCUUCUGCUUAGCGAUCUACAAGGGUAUGUAGAUGUACUCUCCUCUCUCUCGUUGCUAGUCUCUCCAUAGAUAGAUCUUGGUGACUCGUAGGAAAAUUUUGAAUUUCUGCUACGUUCCCCAACAAUAUCACUGGUAGUCACUAAACUUGCGUCAAAUGUGCAGUUUAGUGCUAGAUCUUUGAAAAUACGUUUUUUUUUGUCAUACGACUUGUCAUUUGGUUCAAAUAUUUCUAGUGCCUGUGUAUUCAGCAUGCAUGGAUCCACUGUCAACGACCUACACUGUUUCAAGAGCGACAAGCGCAUGGCUUUUUGCCCAAACCCCCCUCGAAUCCUGUUUAUUUGUGGCCGCUGCAUGUCUCUGUCUGUUAGGCAUACGGGCACUGCAGCAGAGGGAGAUGAUAGACAUCGCAACAAAAGAGGUAGGUGGACAGAACUGACCUGAAUCCUCUCACUAUCCAACUGGCUACGUGCCUUGGGUUUGAAUCCCAUAGACAUAUUUGUACUGGAUUUUUUUAUGAAACUACAGCACAACUCUGUACUAAAUUUUUAGAUAAAACUGCAGUGCAGAUAUAUACUAAAAUUUACAUACAAAAUGCAGUACAGUUUUGUACUGAAUUUAACCAUGAAAUUAUCACAAAGAAUGAAGCUCGGUACUGAAUUUUACAAUAGAGAUGCAGUACAUACUUGUACUGAAUUUAACCAUGAACUUUCUACACACAGUGACCAUCAUCAUGAACCAGACAUAUGCAUACUGAUUAUUACCAGGCAGAAAGAUGGCUCCAAACAGAAAAUAUAUAUUUGCAACAAGGAAAUCACCCAUAAUAACAGGGAGAGAUAUAGCUCCAAAAUACAAGCUCAUUUGUCUUCCAAACCUAAACAGAACAAGUAUUUUUUUACCCCAGCAAAAGUAGUUCAUUCAUGAACUAUGCCAAAGAAAAGUUCAUUCAUGAACUUCAUCACUUGGUCAUCUAAACUACAGAGAGAGGAAAUCAUGCAUGUCAUCUGUCCAUAGGAGCUGGGUAUGUAUAUUUUUCCUAUUUUAAGAAUUGUAACAGAAACAUCUUGUAAGUGAAAACAGAGAUAUCAUAAAAAGAGAACAAAGAGCAGCUUUGAAUAUAACAUGUCCACUGCAGAAAUUCAGUCACCAUGUUCUGCGCACAAAUUCAGUUAACAAGUUAAGUGCCCAAAUUUAGUUAACACUGCAGCAGAUAAAAAAUUCAGUUAUGUGCCAAUAAAACAAAUAAUUAUCACUUGCCAAUACAUCACAUAAUGUGCAGAUAACAUUUGAAGUUAACAAAUUCAGUCACAUAAUGUGCAGCAUAUUCAAUUAACUGAAUUUGCAAACAUAUUCAUUGUAUGCAGUCUAACAAAAAUUCUGUAAACAUCUGGAACCCCAACCUUACUGAACAAAUUGAUCAACCACCAUCUUAACAAAUCUGUGCCUAAAAUGAUUGAUCUAUUCUUUUGAUCUUACAUUUUCAAACAAAAAGCUUCCUCGUUCUUAACCCCCAAAAAAACCCUAGCUCAAAUUGCCAAACAGGAGAAUUAGAUCCUACAAAUGUAAUGCGUACGGCAAAAAAUCGUUUACUCACAAUGCGUACGUGAAUGAAUUAAUUGUGAUCGCGCCACCAUACGUGAACACUACCGUGACGAUACGCAUCAGAGAAACGAGACAAAGAGGAGAAGAGACUAACCAUAUGACGGCGCUGCUUCACUCGGACGUCGACGACGCGGGUCGUCCAUCUUCUCCGACAACGGCCGUCUUGACGCACCGCCUCCGACGCCUCCAUAUUCGCCUCAGAAUGGUUAGGAGAUGAAGCGGUUAGGAGACACGUGGUAGCCACAAAUAGACAAGAUUCGAGGGGGUUUGGGCAAAAAAGCCACGCGUGUGUCACCCUGAAGUGCAGGUCGCUGAAAGUGGACCAUGCAUGCCGAAUACGCAUGCUGGAACAGAGUGACUGUAUUUGAACCAAAUAACAAGUUGUACGACAAAAAAAACGUAUUUUCAAAGAUUUAACACUAAACUGCACAUUCUGCAAUCAAACGUGAAAGUCUAAUAUCUGAAAAAUGCAGCAUGGCUUUGAACAAUACCAACUUUAUGAAAGCUACUAGUUAAACAAUUAACACCAAAUCCCAUCUUCAAAACUGGCCCAAGUUAAGGUGGUUUGGAGAAAUUGAUACCUAAUUGUUUCUUUAUCUGCAUUAUGAACUGUUCUUCUUCUACACAACUUUAUCAUUACUCGAUCAAUUCCAUUUUUUAAAAUACUACUAGAUCAAAAUAGGAUGCAGCAACAAAACCAGAAACUAUUCACGACUGAAAGAGGGCACAAAAUAACUUUGGCUGAGCUUGAUUUUCCAACAGAAGCGAGUACGACUGAAAAAGACACAGGAGGUAUAGAUAAAACUGCAUAUCUUUUCUUCGCGUUAAAUUCCGAUGCGAAUCCAUCCGGCUAUAUAAUAACAAAACGAAAAAACAUCAGAAGGAAGUAACAGCAGCAGCAAAGAGUUCUCUACAGCUCGGACAACAGACUAAUAACAGCAGUCUCAACCACCUCCAACAACCGCAGACCCAAAGUAAGCAGCAGCGGUACCAAUUAUCCAUGUCUCCUCUCUCACCCUACUAACCCCAUUACAAAAAUUGGUUCCCUUAAAACCAUCUACAGCUCG